rnacentral:rRNA from 1 species
GACGAACGCUGGCGGCGUGCCUAAUACAUGCAAGUCGAGCGGACCAAUAGAAGCUUGCUUCUGUUGGUUAGCGGCGGACGGGUGAGUAACACGUGGGCAACCUGCCUGUAAGACUGGGAUAACUUCGGGAAACCGGAGCUAAUACCGGAUAAUUCAUCCCCUCGCAUGAGGGAGUGUUGAAAGUCGGUUCACGGUGACACUUACAGAUGGGCCCGCGGCGCAUUAGCGAGUUGGUGAGGUAAUGGCUCACCAAGGCGACGAUGCGUAGCCGACCUGAGAGGGUGAUCGGCCACACUGGGACUGAGACACGGCCCAGACUCCUACGGGAGGCAGCAGUAGGGAAUCUUCCACAAUGGACGAAAGUCUGAUGGAGCAACGCCGCGUGAGCGAUGAAGGCCUUCGGGUCGUAAAGCUCUGUUGUUAGGGAAGAACAAGUAUCGGAGUAACUGCCGGUACCUUGACGGUACCUAACCAGAAAGCCACGGCUAACUACGUGCCAGCAGCCGCGGUAA